CUGUAUUAUUGGAGAUAUUCCUUUGAUUCAGUGGUGUAUGUACCACAAUGUUAAUAUUAAUCAAAGUAGAUUGGAUGGCUUGACUCCUCUGUUCGCAGCAAAAGGUCACACUGAGGUAGUGAAGCUUUUAUUGGACAACAAGGCCACCAUUUUUACGUGUAGAGAUGACUGGUCAAAAGAUGAGAGAAUUCCAGAAGAGAUAAGAAACAUGGAACAACAGUCAAUUGACAUUUAUAAAAGGGCUUUAAAGUCUGGUUCCGAAAAGAAAAGGGACAUCAAUUUAGUAAUAGUGGGUAAGAAAGGGGCAGGAAAAACAUCAUUAGUACGUAGACUUUUUGGAGAGGAAUUCACUAACUCGGAAAGUACAAAUGGUAUAGAAAUCCAUCGUAGACAAUGCAAAAUAAAAUCAAAUGAGUGGACCAGGAUAGGAG